UGGGGAAUAUUGCACAAUGGGCGAAAGCCUGAUGCAGCGACGCCGCGUGAGCGAAGAAGUAUUUCGGUAUGUAAAGCUCUAUCAGCAGGGAAGAUAAUGACGGUACCUGACUAAGAAGCACCGGCUAAAUACGUGCCAGCAGCCGCGGUAAUACGUAUGGUGCAAGCGUUAUCCGGAUUUACUGGGUGUAAAGGGAGCGCAGGCGGUACGGCAAGUCUGAUGUGAAAGCCCGGGGCUCAACCCCGGUACUGCAUUGGAAACUGUCGAACUAGAGUGUCGGAGGGGUAAGUGGAAUUCCUAGUGUAGCGGUGAAAUGCGUAGAUAUUAGGAGGAACACCAGUGGCGAAGGCGG
rnacentral:rRNA from 1 species